UACGAAGGGGGCUAGCGUUGCUCGGAAUCACUGGGCGUAAAGGGUGCGCAGGCCGCGCGGGCAGUCAAAUGUGUAAUCCAGGGGCUCAACCCCUGAACUGCGCUUGAUACUUCCGCGCUCGAGCUUUGGAGAGGAGUCUGGAAUUCUCGGUGUAGCAGUGAAAUGCGUGGAUAUCGAGAAGAACACUUAGGGCGUAGGCAAGACUCUGGACAAAUGCUGACGCUCAUGCACGAAGGCUAGGGUAGCGAACGGG
rnacentral:rRNA from 1 species